rnacentral:rRNA from 1 species
CGAGCNCAACCCCUGUGUCCUGUUUCCCACCCCUUAACUGGGAGCACUCUGGANAGACUGCCUCGCUUCAACGAGGAGGAAGGUGGGGAUGACGUCAAGUCAGUAUGGCCCUUACGGCCAGGGCUGCACACGUACUACAAUGCCCGGCACAAAGGGAAGCAAGACUGUAAAGUGGAGCAAAUCCCCAAAAACCGGGCCCAGUUCAGAUUGUCGUCUGCAACUCGACGGCAUGAAGCUGGAAUCGCUAGUAAUGGCGCAUCAGCUACGGCGCCGUGAAUACGUUCCCAGGCCUUGUACACACCGCCCGUCACAUCAUGAAAGCCGGUUGCACCCGAAGCCGCCCCUUAAAAGGUGUCGAAGGUAUGACUGGUGAUUGGGAUGAAGUCGUAACAAGGUAACCGUGGAUCCACUAGUCAANCCGAAUUCUGCAGAUA